rnacentral:rRNA from 1 species
GAAUUCGAUUAACGCGAAGAACCUUACCCAGGCUCGAACGGCGACUGACAUCCGGCGAAAGCCGGCUCCCGCAAGGGUAGUCGUCGAGGUGCUGCAUGGCUGUCGUCAGCUCGUGUCGUGAGAUGUUGGGUUAAGUCCCGCAACGAGCGCAACCCUUGUCCGCUGUUGCCAUCAGGUUAUGCUGGGCACUCUGCGGAGACUGCCGGUGAUAAACCGGAGGAAGGUGGGGAUGACGUCAAGUCAGCAUGGCCUUUAUGUCUGGGGCUACACACGUGCUACAAUGGCCGAUACAAACCGUCGCGAUGCCGCAAGGUGGAGCUAAUCGGAGAAAGUCGGUCUCAGUUCGGAUUGCAGGCUGCAACUCGCCUGCAUGAAGUUGGAAUCGCUAGUAAUCGCGGAUCAGCACGCCGCGGUGAAUACGUUCCCGGGCCUUGUCACACCGAAUCACUA